rnacentral:rRNA from 1 species
GACGAACGCUGGCGGCGUGCCUAACACAUGCAAGUCGAACGGAAAGGCCCUGCUUUUGUGCGGUGCUCGAGUGGCGAACGGGUGAGUAACACGUGAGUAACCUGUCCCUCACUUUGGGAGAACUUCAGGAAACAGGGGCUCUUACCGCAUAGGAUCUCUUGCUGCAUGGUGGGCGCUGGUAAGAUUCGGCGGUUGGGGGUGGACUCGCGGCUUAUCGGCUUGAUGGAGGGGUAGUGGCUUACCAAGGCUUUGAAGGGUAGCCGGCCUGGGAGGGGGACCGGCCACAUUGCGCCUGAGAUACGGCCCAGACUCGAACGGGAGGCAGCGGUGGAGAGUGUUGCACAGUGGGCGGGAGCCAGAUGUGGCAGCGCCGCGUGCGGUGAGAGGGGCUUCGGGUUGUGAUCCAAUGUCGCCUUAGCCGAGGCGAGAGUGACGGUAAUGGGUAAAGAAGCACCGGCUAACUACGUG